rnacentral:rRNA from 1 species
UACAGAGGGUGCGAGCGUUAAUCGGAAUUACUGGGCGUAAAGGGCGCGUAGGUGGUUUAUUAAGAUGGAUGUGAAAUCCCUGGGCUUAACCUAGGAACUGCAUCGAUGACUGAUAAGCUAGAGUACUGUAGAGGGUAGUGGAAUUUCCGGUGUAGCGGUGAAAUGCGUAGAGAUCGGAAGGAACACCAGUGGCGAAGGCGGCUACCUGGACAGCUACUGACACUGAGGCGCGAGAGCGUGGGGAGCAAACAGG